rnacentral:tRNA from 1 species
GCGGGGAUAAUCAAGUCUGGUCCACGAUGCUGGACUCAGAAUCCAGUGCGUAGAGCCGCGAGAGUUCAAAUCCCUCUCCCCGCA